UUUAAGCAUAUUCACUCAGUGGAGGAAGGGCAAGCAACUGCGAUUGCUCCAGUAAUGGCGAAUGAACUGGCAAUACCUCAUGGCUCAGCCUGAAGUGAUCCCAACCCACCUCAGUGGUGCCCUCUGGGCUCAGCUGCUCUGGUGGUCGGCUAUCGCGGGUUCAACCAAUGCUGUGGGCUGUGGAGCGGCUUGGCAGUGCUUGUCUGGGCUGGCCGUGGCACCAGGAAGGUGCCCUGGAAUGGACCACAACAGAGGGAUACUGUCCCCUACACUGGACUGUUGUGCCAUGGCUGCCUGGACCUCUGCUGGCCGAAUCCAAGAGUAGAGCUGCUUGAGACUGCAGUUUGAAGUGCCAGGUGUGUCCCUGGCAAGGAGCAAUACCACCGUGGGACCGAUAGUGCACAAGUAGAGUGAUUGAAGGAUGCAAAGGACUUUGUGAAGAGGGUUAAAAGUCCCUGAAGCCUUGGCAGGAACGGCGGUGUGCGGUGCUGUGCUAUGAUCAGAGCAAACCCCAGUCAAGGGCCUCCACCACUCUCUGUGUGAGUGUGGUGUGCCUGCCCUGGAGGUUUUGUGUGCAAGCCAAGCGACCUUGGGCCAGCCCCCAGCUGGCCACUGAGCCUACUCCAGAAGGUGUGGAUGCAAUCGUGGCAGCUUCUCUGAGGGGUGACAGUCAGCCUGUCAGGGCCUGAGGCCAGAACAGCGAGGAAGGGCGCUCUGCAACCAAACUGGCAAUGUCUGCUGCAGUCUCCAGUGUGGGCUUCCCAGGGGAAAGAGUAGUGUGCUGCUGCCCAGGCAGCCAACGCUGAUUGCUGGCUCUGCUCUCUGCUGGUUUUGGCUUGCCGGAGUCUCUUGUGAAUGGCUGCUGACCCUGGCGCGCCCUCGGGCGUGCCAGUCACUGGUGCCCAGCCUCAGUGGGGCCUGGUUGAGAGGUGUGGCAGGCUCACCACUUGAUGGUGACUGCUGUGCUUCUUCCUGCCCUCUGGAUGGUGCCUGGUGAAGUCAAUGGCAGUUGUGCUUGGUGCAACAGUGCCACACACUGCCCGUCUUGAAACACGGACCAAGGAGUCUAUGGACCUCGCAUGUUGGCAGGUGUGAACGUGGAAGGCCGCUAAGGCACAGUGAAGGCAAGCAAGGGCCACUCUGUGGACCCUCCAGAUGUGGUGUGGUGCUGCUGUCCGCCAGGCACAGGAAAAGAAGGGCUCUCUCUGUGAUGCAGGCUGUGUGCAACUCUGACCAGGGCUGAGGCUCUCUGUCUGUGUGCUGUGUGGGCAACACACAACAACUGCUGCAUGGAACACCAGUCCCCACGUCCAGUGGACAGGGCUUUGAGUGCUUGCAAGGUCCAUGUGACCCGAAAGGUGGUGAACUAUGCCAUUCCAUGACGAAGCCAUGGGAAACUGUGGUGGAAGUCAGUAGCUGUUCUGACGUGCAAAUUGUGUAGCCUGAGUGUGGCAUGGGGGCGAAAGGCCAAUCAAACCACCUAGUAGCUGGUUUCCCUCGAAGUUUCCCUCAGGAUAGCUGGGCUCAAGUGUGCAAUCCUCACUGCCUGUGACUAUGCUCUGAGUGGUUAUGCCCGGUAAAGCAACGCAUGAGAGGCUCUCUGUGGGGAGGCUACCUCCUCAACCUAUCCUCGAACUGUGAAUGGGCAUGGCAACACAACCAUCGUGGCAACAAAGGCAUGCUGCUUCACCAGUGCCUGAGUCUGGUGUGCCAACCACACCCAGUGCUCCCAAGGCCUCUGUGCUGAGCGUGUUUGGCUUGUGUGGUGGUGACUUCGUGCUGCUUGUCUCUCCUGAUGUGCUGACACCCAACAAAGAGGCCCAAAGGGCUACUCCUGCUCUCCCUGGUGUGGCUGUGCCCUCUCCUGCAGGCUGUGUGCCAGCUGGCAGAGGCACCCCGAACAGGAGGCAGAGGGGAACCCUGUGUGGCCACUCCCUGUUGUGGCUGUUGUGCCAUCCCAGAGGUGAACCUGUGUGGCAAACAAGGCAAAGAACCUACCAAAGCGCCCAGAAGGGGCUGGUUGGCUGUGGGAUGGAAUGGCAAAGGCAGGCCUGCCAAGGCUGUGUGCUGCUGCUGUCUCCCCGGUCUCCUCCCUGUGUGGCAAUGGUGAUGGAUGACUCUCUGCCCUCUGUCGAAGCCCUGUGCAAAGCAACUCCAGCCCUGUGCAAAGCUGUGUGCUGCCUGUGGCUGCUGCUGCUGCUUCUGCUAGUCACCCCUGUGCAGGGUUGAACAAGUGUGCCUGUGUGGACCAGGAUUGGUAAGCAGUGCUGGUGAUGCGGGGUGCUCCGAGAGUGGACUUACAGUGCCAGAGUGCUGGCUCAUACUCAGAUCCCACAAAGGAUGCUGCAUGCUCUGGAUAGCAGGUCGGUGGCCAUGAAGGUUGGAACCCGCUAAGGACUGUGUAACAACUCACCUGCCGAAGUGUGCAGCUCCCAAAAUGGAUGGUGCCCAAGUCAGUGAAGCUGAAUGUGCCUCACAGUCCACCACUGCUGUGGCAGUUGAUGAUGAGCAGAGCAUUGGUGUGUAGAGAGGACACAGGGGAUUGCUGUGCCAGCUGGGGCUGACCCUGGCUGGAGCAUCCUCAGGCACAGAUCUUGGUUGCAGUAGCGAGUACUCCAUCGAGUGAAGGGCAGUUACAACACUGCUGUGUGUGGUUGAGGACUGGAGUGGAGCAGGCUUCUGCAUCAAACAGCCGUUGAAUGCAGGUCAACCGACCGUGAGCCAAGUGGUAAGCUCAGAGUGCACUCUACCAAAGCCAUCAAGGCCUCUGGCAGCAGGCAAAGGCCAAGGGCGCGGGGCAGGCCUCAAACUGCCCCAGCCAAGAGCUUGUUUGUGCGUGGAGACUAUGUCCUCCUGCUGCUGGGGUGCUGUCUGAUGGGAUUGGCAAACAGGCAAGCAUGUGCAACAUUCUGCUGUGAUGGGCUUGGAACUCAACAGGGCAAACCCCUGAUGAAGGGUGGUGACACCUCGUGACUGGAGCAAGCAGGCUUUGGGGCAGUGCACCCCAUGGGGAGUUCUCGUUUCCUCCUGAUGCAGGCUCAUGUGGGCUACUGAUUGGCAUGACAAGUGGUGGUGUAUGCCCUCCUCUCAGCAAGGCAGUGCUCCCUCUGCACUGAUGGCUCUGCUUGUGUGGUGGCCUCUCUCUACCCAUGAUGAAGCUGUGCUCAGGCGCUGGAUUGGGACUGGUGUGCAACAGCCAAAACCCCUGCUGUGUGCAGGAGGUGUGUGCAGAAGAUUGCUCUGGAUGAUGACAACUGUGUGCCACAACACCAAAAUGGUGGUGGUCACUGGCUCCACUGAAAGGCCUGCAGGGACACUGUCUUCCUAGUCCCUGAUCGUCGUACUGAAUCACCGCAGCUGGUCUCCAUGACUUGACGUCGCUGGUCAACAGAUUGAAUGCAGCUAAGGGAAGUCGGCAAACUGGCUGUGUACCCUUGGAAGAUGCAGUGGCUCCAGAGGCCAAGUUGCUGGGACCUGCCACGGGUGGAUGUCUUCACGGUGGAGGCUGCUCUGUGCCAUUGGGUGUUCCCCUCUGGUGUGGAUGGGCCACUGCUGUGGGCUCCAUUCUUGUGGCAGGGGCUGAUCACCUGUGGGGUACAAAGCCCCGCAGUAGGCCAUCCUGGUGGCUACCUCGUGGCCCACAUGGAACUGUUGCUGUGCAGGGGAAUCUGACUGUUUAAUUGAAACCCAGCUUUGUGGCUGUGACAGGAAGGCUGCUGCCAUGAGGUGACUUCUGCCCAGUGCUCUGGUUGUCAAUGCCAAGAGAUUGAGCCAAGCGCGGGUAAACGGCGGGAGUAACUAUGACUCUCUUAAGGUAGCCAAAUGCCUCGUCAACCAAUUAUUGACGCGCAUGAAUGGAUCAACGAGAUUCCUGCUGUCCCUAGCUGCUACCUGGUGAACCAACAGCCAAGGGAACGGGCUUGGAUGUGUCACGGGGAAAGAAGAGCCUGUUGAGAG
rnacentral:rRNA from 1 species